rnacentral:lncRNA from 1 species
ACCAACAUACACGGCCCGAAGGCAAAACAUAGAUUUCCUUAUUUGAUUCCAUUACUUAGUCAUGUACUUUACUUAUUUAAGUUCAUUCCUCUAUUUAUGUUCUUUCCUUAAUUAAUCUGGUCCCUAGUGCAUUCCUAUAACGUUUUCUCCUUAGUAUACCAAUUUCAUUCAAGAUCAAUUCUACGUUUAUUCACAUAAACAUAUCAAUUUAAACAUAUCAAUGAUCACACACAAUCUAAUAAGAAAGUAUCCUAAGAACACAAGAACGUUCUUCUAUCCUUAAGAACCAUCUUGAAGAACGAAGAACGAACUUUCCAUAAAUGAUUCCUCUAACGCAUAUUUAUCAUCCUAACGAACCAACUAUAACAAAGAUAUUAAUUAUUAAGCUGCCACGAAUCACACCCUCACCUUAGCUGGAUCUCUAGGAUUCGAAGACUCUGAACUUCCUUGCGUUUUCUGGUGAAGAACUCUUUAGCUCCUCCUCAUUCGAUCCCUCUUCUCAAACUUCUCUCUCUACAAACUCGUUCUUGCUCUGACUUCUCUGUAAAUCUAGUUUUCUUGGUUGUGUAAAAAAAUGAGAGCUCAAAGGGUCCUUAUAUAGGAAUUUUUAAGCUUUCUCACCAAGCCGGACACUUAAUGUCAGUUUCCUUAUUUGGCUUGGUCAAAAAUCACCAUCAGUGGCAUGAUCUGAUUCUUUCCUUAGAUUACUCCUGCCGAUCCGACUUUCCUUUUGUAUUAUCCUGCAAUUGUGGCUAGUCAAACUUUCUUAAUUUGGAACCCCCAUUAUCCAACAGUCGAACAUUCUUUAACUGGUCUUGCGGUCUUGAUUUCUCCGUAUGUUUGCUCUGAUUGUUCCAUGAUCGGUUUACCAUCGCUCGACCCAUUCUGAAUAUUUCCCAUGGAUUCAUUGAAGAUCCGGUACUUAUUUAAAAAUACAUUUAUUCUUGCAAUCUUCACGAAUAUAAGUGUCACCACACUUAGAAAAAUAGACUCCUUAUUGAUUUAAACUUCUCACAAUUUAUUUUCUUCGAAUUUAAAAAUAUUCCGGGAACGGGUCAUUACAGAGAAUAUCGAAUCUCUCUCUCAAUUAUAGGUCUUUUGUUCAAGACUCUUCUUUUCUUUAUCAACGUUCAAGACUCUAGAGUGAGAGAGAAAGAAAGACAAAAAGCCAAAAAUUCUCUCGAAGAUCAAUAAGAUUUUUUUUUCACCUUUGGAUUCUCUCCCUCUCUUUAAUACUACUACCACUACUUGGCACUUGCUACUAGCCCUUGUGAUUAUUGCGGUUCAUAAAUUCUGUGUGCCUACUCAGUUCGUGCGUGGGAUACACACACUCCAAUCUCUUUCUGCUCUCUAUAAAAAAAAAAUUUAAU